UGCCUCGUACGGCGAGUGAAGCGGCAAAAGCUCAAAUUUGAAAUCCCCCGGGAAUUGUAAUUUGAAGAGAUUUGGGUCCGGCCGGCGGGGGUUAAGUCCACUGGAAAGUGGCGCCACAGAGGGUGACAGCCCCGUGAACCCCUUCAACGCCCUCAUCCCAGAUCUCCAAGAGUCGAGUUGUUUGGGAAUGCAGCUCUAAGUGGGUGGUAAAUUCCAUCUAAAGCUAAAUACCGGCGAGAGACCGAUAGCGAACAAGUACAGUGAUGGAAAGAUGAAAAGCACUUUGAAAAGAGAGUGAAAAAGUACGUGAAAUUGUUGAAAGGGAAGGGCUUGCAAGCAGACACUUAACUGGGCCAGCAUCGGGGCGGCGGGGAGCAAAACCACCGGGGAAUGUACCUUUCGAGGAUUAUAACCCCGGUCCUUACUCCCUCACCACCCCGAGGCCUGCAAUCUAAGGAUGCUGGCGUAAUGGUUGCAAGUCGCCCGUCUUGAAAAAACGGGACCAAAA
rnacentral:rRNA from 1 species